rnacentral:rRNA from 1 species
GACGAACGCUGGCGGCGUGCUUAACACAUGCAAGUCGAACGAAGAGCGAUGGAAGCUUGCUUCUAUCAAUCUUAGUGGCGAACGGGUGAGUAACGCGUAAUCAACCUGCCCUUCAGAGGGGGACAACAGUUGGAAACGACUGCUAAUACCGCAUACGAUCUAAUCUCGGCAUCGAGGAUAGAUGAAAGGUGGCCUCUACAUGUAAGCCAUCACUGAAGGAGGGGAUUGCGUCUGAUUAGCUAGUUGGAGGGGUAACGGCCCACCAAGGCGAUGAUCAGUAGCCGGUCUGAGAGGAUGAACGGCCACAUUGGGACUGAGACACGGCCCAGACUCCUACGGGAGGCAGCAGUGGGGAAUCUUCCGCAAUGGACGAAAGUCUGACGGAGCAACGCCGCGUGAGUGAUGACGGCCUUCGGGUUGUAAAGCUCUGUUAAUCGGGACGAAAGGCCUUCUUGCGAACAGUUAGAAGGAUUGACGGUACCGGAAUAGAAAGCCACGGCUAACUACGUG